rnacentral:tRNA from 1 species
AAGAAAGCAUGCAAGAGCUGCUAACUCAUGCCUCCGUAUUUAAGCAUACGGCUUUCUUA